rnacentral:lncRNA from 1 species
UGGGGACCAUGUGUGAUUUUCUUGUUUGUUCAAAUAGCUGUACUUUUAUGGAAGCGUUCUACUUUUGGAAGAAGGGCAAACCAUGGUUCCGUGCUCUUAUCAGGAAGUGGAGACCUGGGGAUGUUUGAGGAAGGAGGAUGGGGAGGGUGACGGCUCUCUGCUCCUGAAAGUGAGGGACCCUGUCCGCCUCCUCAGGAUUCCAGGCUGCUGCUCCAGUGGUUACAAAGCACCGUGCAGCAUUGAGGAAGGCAAUCAGAAGGCCACUAAGUGAAAAAAGGCAAGAAGGAGGGAACAGCCCUCCGUGCCAUGUGAGUAACGGGCUUUUUCAAAUCAGCCUCCGAAGUACCACUUCCCUGAAUCUGCCAGAAAUGUGAGGCUUUGACCCUGAGAACCAGAGAAGUGCAGGUUUACAUUCUAGGUAAAGAUUUCCUUAAAGCCAGCCAGCAGCUGCAGAGCUCAGAAGAAAAAGAGGAAGACAAUACAUCCUCUUGCUCAGUCUGCGGUGGCAGGUGCACACCAAGGGUCACGGCCUCCAGGAGGAACUGGAGCUUGGCUGGAGAACUGUCAGUUAAUCAUCCAAGAGAAUGCCCCUGACAGUGGGGAGAAAACUCCCAUUCAUUUCCUCAGGAUUGUGCUGCAGCCACUAACUGCAGUGUUUCUACAAAGCAGAACUCUUUCGCUGCUUGGCACUGGGAGUCAUUUGUCUGCUCCUGUGUAUUGUAGGCAAACCCUCUGUUGCAGCCGGACGGGCCUAGGCCAAGUCCUCUGAACACAUUUUGUGCCUUCUCUUCUCUGUUUUUGCCUCUUACUGUGCCCCAUUUGGAAUGCACAGCCCCUCUCUUCUCUUCUCAUGUAAAUUCUGUUCAUUCUCCCCGGUCCCACCAAGUUCCACUUCCUCCCCGGCCACUUCUAUCAAACUUUCGCCCUUUCUUUACCCCAUUUUGUGAAUUGAAUGACC